rnacentral:rRNA from 1 species
GACGAACGCUGGCGGCGUGCCUAAUACAUGCAAGUAGAACGCUGAAGAGAGGAGCUUGCUCUUCUUGGAUGAGUUGCGAACGGGUGAGUAACGCGUAGGUAACCUGCCUUGUAGCGGGGGAUAACUACUGGAAACGAUAGCUAAUACCGCAUAACAAUGGAUGACACAUGUCAUUUAUUUGAAAGGGGCAAUUGCUCCACUACAAGAUGGACCUGCGUUGUAUUAGCUAGUAGGUGAGGUAAUGGCUCACCUAGGCGACGAUACAUAGCCGACCUGAGAGGGUGAUCGGCCACACUGGGACUGAGACACGGCCCAGACUCCUACGGGAGGCAGCAGUAGGGAAUCUUCGGCAAUGGGGGCAACCCUGACCGAGCAACGCCGCGUGAGUGAAGAAGGUUUUCGGAUCGUAAAGCUCUGUUGUAAGUCAAGAACGGGUGUGAGAGUGGAAAGUUCACACUGUGACGGUAGCUUACCAGAAAGAGACGGCUAACUACGUG